AUUGGUUUUAUAUGAAGGUUUAGGGCCCGUUUGUUUGACAGGAUUAGGGAGGACUGGACUGGACUAGACUACAGUCCCUUGUUUGGUCUGCACCAGGAUUAGGUUUAAUGGGAUUAGGUCUGACUCGCUAGGAUUAAACCCCUCACUAGGAGUUCUAAGCGAAGCACCCCGAUCACCCUCGGACUUGUAAGACCUCCUGCGCUCCUGCGCUCCUGCGAGAGAGAACCUCGCUCAACCUCGAUCCUCAACGUGCUCCCUCCUUGCCCUGCUCCCUCAUCGUCGUCCUCCUCAUCAUCAUCUCUGCGUCUUACUCGCCCUCAACUCCAUCCUGCUCGCCCUCAUCUGAGAAGAGGAGCAUAAACGGAAGGCUAAGGCUACUGGAUUUUGUAAAUUAUGGAGAUCUACUUUGGAAUGCUAUACUAUAGUUCACUGGCAUUUUGUAAAAUAUCCUGGAUGAAAGUUUAGUGAAUGAUGUUUUAAGAGUCAAUCAAUGGCAAAGAUUGACUUGUCACAA